AUGAAAAAAGAUGAAAAUCAUGAAGAAAAAAACAAAACAAAAACGUAUCCUAGCUACUUGGGCCAGCUCAUGUGUGGUUUGCUUAGUGUCGAAUUCGGACUUGCAACUAGGAUAAAAAAAGUUGGGCCCCACUUGCAAGUCGAGGGUGUACUUGCAACUGAUACAGAAAAAAGGUCGGGCCCUAGUUACAAGUCGAGAGUGGACUUGCAACUUGGAAAAAAAAAGUCAGGCCCAGUUGCGAGUAUAGUGGACUUUGAAACUACUAAAAUAGUUUGGACCCCAAUUGCGAGUCGAGGGUAA
rnacentral:rRNA from 1 species